ensembl:lncRNA
UUUUUUUUUUUUUUUUUUUUUAUUAGAUUCCACAGGGAAAGGUUCUUAAAGACAGGGUGAGGGAGAGGGUUGCAGGGUAUGUGAUCACCUCAUGGGUGUUCUGAUUGGUUGGUGGUGAGGUAAUUGAGAGUCAACAUCAUCAACCUGGUUCCAACCGUCCGGGGUCCAUGUGCUUGUGGUCGGCACAUAGUUAACUUCUUCUACCUGGUGGGGCUUUCUGAUUUUUGUUUUGUUGUUGUUUGUUUGUUUUUGUCUUUUUGUCUUUUUCUAGGGCCACACCUGUGGCAUAUAGAGGUUCCCAAGCUAGGGGUCUAAUCGGAGCUGUAGCCGAUUAGACUUUUUCUUUUAGAAAAAGAAGUCAUAACUCCAGUGGAGUUCCCAUCAUGGCUCAGUGUUUCACGAACCCAACUAGCAUCCGUGAGGACAAGGGUUCAAUCCCUGGCCUCACUCAGUGGUUUAAGGAUCUGGCGUUGCUGUGAGCUGUGAUGUAGGUUGCAGACGUGGCUCAGAUCCUGCAUUGCUAUGGCUGUGGUGUAGGCUGGCGGCUACAGCUCUGAUUCAACCCCUAGCCUGGGAACCUCUAUAUGCUGUGGGUUUGGCCCUAAAAAGACAACAAUAAAAAUAAAAUAAAAAUUACAAAGUCAUAGCUCCAAGCCCUCUGGAGGGAAGGGGAUGUGUUGAUGUGGACCACCACACUCGCUGCAGAGGCACCUGGGAUAGGAGGUCUUCUCGCAGGGAGGGUGUCUGGUAGUCAGGCUCCCUGAGCUCUCCACGCCCCCUGUCCGCUUUUUUUUGUCUUUGGUUGUUUUAGGACCUUGUUAAGGUUAGAGAGGGUCCCUUAAAGGAGAAUAUUCACUAGUAAAUGGAACUAGCUCAUGGUCCCUGAUUAAUGCGUAAGCUGGGAAAAGGAGGAAAUUCACCAUCAAUUGUUGGGUGUGUAUUCUCUGAAUAAACUGGUGUGUGAAAUGACCCACAGGUUUUAUAACAUCACAUAAGGCAGAAGGAUAAGUGAUUAUGGACCACACGAGUUACCUACAGGGAAGCCAAUUAUUCAGUGUUACAGAAGCAGCAGGAAAGCAGACAGUGUGUGAGAAGAUAGUGGGGAGUGGGGCCCACAGGGAGGCAUGACUCACUGGGGGAUGAAUCAGAAGGAAGUGUUGGCUGUUAAUGGCUCAGGACUGUGACUCUGGAAAUUGCUGUUGGCUGAAAGGAACCUAGGCAGGGAGAAGCUUCCUCCUUAGGACAGAACCCUUAAGAUUGCUUGCUGUGGGGAUUCCCAGGGCACAUCUUGGUCCUCCCUGCCCAUUUGGAUGGUCAGUGGGCAGGUACUGAAGCCACAGCCUGAGAAGGGCCUGGUGACCGGGGAUGCAGACUCCUCAGGAAUCCAUGCAGACUCCACCAGGUGAGCCACCUAGAGCAGCAGAGGCACCGGCUUUGGCUAAGGAACUUGGAGUGGGGAAAGGACUGGCACUCAUCAGCUCUGUGCCCUGAGAUGGCUGUAGGGUCGGAGUGGGGACUUCCUGUCCCCCUUGAAGUUUAUCCUCCUACUUGGAGACAACUUCAGUAUUUUCAUGUUGCUCGCCUUUUAAGAUUUCUAGUUGAGAAGUUCCUGUCGUGGCUCAGUGGUUAAUGAAUCUGACUAGGAACCAUGAGGUUGCAGGCUCGACCUCUGGCCUCCAUCAGUGGGUUAAGGAUCCUGUGUUGCCGUGAACUGUGGUGUAGGUUGCAGACGUGGCUCGAAUCUUGCGUUGCUGUGGCUCUGGCAUAGGCCAGUGGCUACAGCUCUGAUUAGACCUCUAGCCUGGGAACCUCCAUAUGCUGCCGGUGUGGUCCAUAUGCUGCCGGUGUGGCCCUAGAAGACAAAAAGACAAAAAAAAAAAAAAAAAAA